rnacentral:sRNA from 1 species
ACAGGCCGGGUGACAACCGGACGCAAUGGGGAUGUUGGACGCGGAGCAUUUUUCCGGUUUCUGCCUGCGACAUCAACGCAUCGGUACGCGCUGACAACUAACCCAUUCCCGGC